rnacentral:rRNA from 1 species
GAUGAACGCUGGCGGCGUGCCUAAUACAUGCAAGUCGAGCGAACAGACGAGAGUGCUUGCACUCUCUGACGUUAGCGGCGGACGGGUGAGUAACACGUGGGUAACCUACCUAUAAGACUGGGAUAACUUCGGGAAACCGGAGCUAAUACCGGAUAAUAUUUAGCUUCGCAUGAAGCAAUAGUGAAAGACGGUUCUGCUGUCACUUAUAUAUGGACCCGCGGUGUAUUAGCUAGUUGGUGAGGUAACGUCUCACCAAGGCAACGAUACAUAGCCGACCUGAGAGGGUGAUCGGCCACACUGGGACUGAGACACGGCCCAGACUCCUACGGGAGGCAGCAGUAGGGAAUCUUCCGCAAUGGACGAAAGUCUGACGGAGCAAUGCCGCGUGAGUGAAGAAGGUUUUCGGAUCGUAAAACUCUGUUGUAAGGGAAGAACAAGUACGUUAGUAACUGAACGUACCUUGACGGUACCUUAACAGAAAGCCACGGCUAACUACGUG